rnacentral:rRNA from 1 species
CAGCCGUAAACUAUGCGCGUUAGGUGUAUCGGUGACCACGAGUUACCGAGGUGCCGAAGGGAAACCGUGAAACGUGCCGCCUGGGAAGUACGGUCGCAAGGCUGAAACUUAAAGGAAUUGGCGGAGGAGGACCACAACAGGUGGAGCCUGCGGUUUAAUUGGACUCAACGCCGGGAAGCUCACCGGAUAGGACAGCGGAAUGAUUGCCGGGCUGAAGACUCUGCAUGACUAGCUGAGAGGAGGUGCAUGGCGUAGACGUCU